rnacentral:rRNA from 1 species
GAUGAACGCUGGCGGCGUGCCUAAUACAUGCCAGUCGAGCGAACAGACGAGGAGCUUGCUCCUCUGACGUUAGCGGCGGACGGGUGAGUAACACGUGGAUAACCUACCUAUAAGACUGGGAUAACUUCGGGAAACCGGAGCUAAUACCGGAUAAUAUAUUGAACCGCAUGGUUCAAUAGUGAAAGACGGUUUUGCUGUCACUUAUAGAUGGAUCCGCGCCGCAUUAGCUAGUUGGUAAGGUAACGGCUUACCAAGGCAACGAUGCGUAGCCGACCUGAGAGGGCGAUCGGCCACACUGGAACUGAGACACGGUCCAGACUCCUACGGGAGGCAGCAGUAGGGAAUCUUCCGCAAUGGGCGAAAGCCUGACGGAGCAACGCCGCGUGAGUGAUGAAGGUCUUCGGAUCGUAAAACUCUGUUAUUAGGGAAGAACAAAUGUGUAAGUAACUAUGCACGUCUUGACGGUACCUAAUCAGAAAGCCACGGCUAACUACGUG